CAUAACAAGGUCAUUUUUAAACAGAGCAUUGAGUUUGUUGAAAUGGGUAAUUCUUUUUAGCAACAAAUGAUAAAGAGUUCUAUCGGAUACCAAAGAACCACAGUAGAUGAAAUAAAGAACAUGAAGGCCUGUUCCCGAAUUAGUCAGUUCUUUUUUUGUCCAAAUCUCCGGAUGGAAAACUGUGAAGCAAAAAUGAGUAAUUUCCCAAUAGAUUUCCAUCUGUGUUUUGAAAACAGAAGUAAGAUGUUAUUAUUGGCCAUAAUUUGAGAUACAGAACAAGAAUUAUGACGCUUCAAUAUAUAAAUAUAAAAAAAAAAAAAAAAAAGCUACAGCUUUUAUUCCAGUUUUUGCAUACAUAGUAAUAAGUAAUAAAAAUAGAUCAAUCAUCUGCCCCAUUUGAUAUAUGCGCUCCUCUUUCUCCCUUUUCUUCAUCCUUGUACGGCUCUAGUCUCCAUUUGGGAAUUUGGGAACCGUGGAUCAAUUGUCAAAUUGAAGGUCAUCAAUGGUGAUUGAGCGCCACAACUGGUAGUAUCGCAAUAAGCUCCCUGGCAAUUUUUUUUAAAGAAAGGAAAACCAUUUCCAUCUGGGUCUUCGACAAAAACAGAAGGGAGCAAAAUACCAGUUUCGCUUUUCAGUGAAUCAGUCACCUGGAGAGCAAUGGGGAUGGUUGAAUUUGGGCUAUGGUCAGUCUGGCAUUAGAUUGGAGAUUUUUGUUGGUUAUUUUAGUAGCUUUAAUGAUUUGGUGAAUGACGUGUUUCGUUGCGGGCAUAUUGAAAAAGUUAGAUUUUCGUAUUUGAUUGGUACCUUUUCAGAAAUACUCCUAAAUUUAAGAAUACAUAAGCCACAUUUAUACUCCUCAUGUAUAUGAAAAAGUCUUACCCUGUCUCAAAUGGUGAGAAAAUUACAUCCA
rnacentral:lncRNA from 1 species